rnacentral:rRNA from 1 species
CGGCGAGUGAAGCGGCAACAGCUCAAAUUUGAAAUCUGGCCCCCCCUCGGAGGCCCGAGUUGUAAUUUGCAGAGGGCGCUUUGGCGUGGGCGCCGGCCUAAGUUCCUUGGAACAGGACGUCAUAGAGGGUGAGAACCCCGUACGUGGCAGGCCGCCCGCGCCGUGUAAAGCCCCUUCGACGAGUCGAGUUGUUUGGGAAUGCAGCUCUAAAUGGGAGGUAAAUUCCUUCUAAAGCUAAAUACCGGCCAGAGACCGAUAGCGCACAAGUAGAGUGAUCGAAAGAUGAAAAGCACUUUGGAAAGAGAGUCAAAAAGCACGUGAAAUUGUUGAAAGGGAAGCGCUUGCAGCCAGACUUGCCUGUAGUUGCUCAUCCGGGCCCCCGCCCGGUGCACUCUUCUGCGGGCAGGCCAGCAUCAGUCUGGGCGGCCGGAUAAAGGCCCCGGGAACGUAGCUCCCUCCGGGGAGUGUUAUAGCCCGGGGCGCAAUGCGGCCAGCCCGGACUGAGGUCCGCGCAUCUGCCAGGAUGCUGGCGUAAUGGCUGUAAGCGGCCCGUCUUGAAACACGGACCAAGGAGUCUAACAUCUAUGCGAGUGUUUGGGUGUCAAGCCCGGGCGCGCAAUGAAAGUGAACGGAGGUGGGAACCCCCCCGGGGUGCACCAUCGACCGAUCCUGAUGUCUUCGGAUGGAUUUGAGUAAGAGCAUAGCUGUUGGGACCCGAAAGAUGGUGAACUAUGCCUGAAUAGGGUGAAGCCAGAGGAAACUCUGGUGGAGGCUCGCAGCGGUUCUGACGUGCAAAUCGAUCGUCAAA